AGGUUUCUUUUUCUAAAAUUACAUCAAGUCUCAAGGAAUGAGAUGGAAGCGUUGUUCAGGCUCUAUGAGAAGGUGAACUGCUCUAUCAAUGACGAUGAACUCAUCCAAUUGCACUUUAUUGGUAAAAAAUUUACCAUCCGAGGAUACAUCCAAAUUACAGGAUUAGAACGAAAAGAAGAAACUACGGCAUCACAUAACUGCAGCAAAGAAGGUAAUGCAUGAGAUGGAACAGGGUCGUAUUAUGGAAGCGAAGAACAGAAUCCCUGAUGUUCCACGGAGUGUUUUCAGUUAAAGGUAAAAAAAGGAAAAAGGAAGUCUGGAGCUCUCUUGGUUGUACAACAAAGAGGGGUUACUUCACAUACUCAUCAGCAGUGAGGCUAAUAUCAUCUCUAAUCAAGUGAAAAAGCAAGGGCGCAUCCUUAGAUUUCUGUUGGAAGACUUCUAUUUCUCUCAUUCCAGAUGUGCUAGCAUGUGCAAGCAGUGAGAGUGUACUUUUUAUUGAUAUGAAUCUUCAGGCUUCAUUUUGAAAUUUUGGGCCACGAACGCUUGAUCGCAAAAGUAACAGAUAUCAUGAAAUUGCGGUGGCCAUCCGCGGAUCUACUGUUCCUGGUUUGCUUUGUCGAGUGUCCCGGGCAAGAGGACCAAGUGUGGGCGGGUAGGUAUCGGCAAGGCGGGCUGUCAGCACGGUGUUGGAGUUGGUCGGUAGUGGUGCACCUACGCCGUGUAUGGAUCAAUACUGUAGGAGGUUCCAUUGAGGCCCAGUCUAUCCAGGCACAAAACAGAGACAUCUGAAAGCAGGACAGACGUCACUCAUGGAUGCAAUUGAACCAAGCUAUGGCAUCGUAGUUUUAUCUCUAUUGCCACGGUUGGCUUUUGCUCUCUUGUGUUCCUGCUCAUGUUACUAAACUUAAUGUUAGCUAAUUAGCUUUUGUAAUCGUGUGACCGUGCUGAAUUGGAUGUUGCCUUGCUUCCGCGACGGGUUAGCUUUUAUAAUCUCAUGACCAUGUUGAACUUG